UACGGAGGAUGCGAGCGUUAUCCGGAUUUAUUGGGUUUAAAGGGUGCGUAGGCGGACGCUUAAGUCGGCGGUAAAAUUGCGGGGCUCAACCUCAUCGAGCCGUUGAAACUGGGUGCCUUGAGUGGGCGAGAAGUACGCGGAAUGCGUGGUGUAGCGGUGAAAUGCAUAGAUAUCACGCAGAACUCCGAUUGCGAAGGCAGCGUACCGGCGCCCUACUGACGCUGAAGCACGAAGGCGUGGGUAUCGAACAGG
rnacentral:rRNA from 1 species